rnacentral:rRNA from 1 species
AUUGAACGCUGGCGGCAGGCCUAACACAUGCAAGUCGAGCGAGCGGCGGACGGGUGAGUAAUGUCUGGGAAACUGCCUGAUGGAGGGGGAUAACUACUGGAAACGGUAGCUCAUACCGCAUACCAUCAGAUGUGCCCAGAUGGGAUUGUCGGGUAGGUGGGGUAACGGCUCACCUAGGCGACGAUCCCUAGCUGGUCUGAGAGGAUGACCAGCCACACGGGAACGGAAAAACGGUCCAGACUCCAAGGGGAGGCAGCAGUGGGGAAUAUUGCACAAGGGGGGAAAGCCUGAUGCAGCCAUGCCGCGGGUGUAAAGAGGGCCUUCGGGUUGUAAAGCACUUUCAGCGGGGAGGCGUUACCCGCAGAAGAAGCACCGGCUAACUCCGUGCCAGCAGCCGCGGUAAUUC